GGCGGUAUAUUUCAAUGGCCGAGCGGCUUAAGGCGCACGCUUGGAAAGCGUGUAAGCGUUAAUAGCGCUUCGUGGGUUCGAAUCCCACUCUCUCCGCCA
rnacentral:tRNA from 1 species